CCUGAAGUUUUAGGGGAGCUUUAAAGAGGACCAUUGUGGACAAUCUAAGUAGUUAACUCAUGCUAGAAGGAAAGGCCAAUUGCCCGUAUUAUCAGAUAAACUACUUUCUCUGACUUAUGGCCACGUCGUCGUCAACGAUCCUCCCUCUUCAUACCAUGUUGCCAAUGAUGUUGGAUGUUGUUGCCAGGAGCAAGUCAAAGAGGAGCUUUACCUUCAAGUGGUGGGCUCGGGGCAGGUAUUAUCGCUACCUCGCACAUGAUCACCAAGUCAACUCAUGCAAGAACUCCUUCUGUUGCAUCCGUUGUUACCGCUCUGGUCAUCGAGAGCGACAUUGUCGCUUUUGGUCUUCCUCUCCUACUCCUCGAGUUAACUCCUCCGUACAUUGCAAUCUUCCUCAACAAUGGAGGACUUGGGCCGAGGUAGUGGCC
rnacentral:misc_RNA from 1 species